rnacentral:rRNA from 1 species
UACGUAGGGGGGCAAGCGUUGUCCGGAAUCAUUGGGCGUAAAGAGCGUGUAGGCGCCUGAUAAGUCGGCUGUGAAAGUCAAGGGCUCAACCCUUGAAUGCCGGCCGAUACUGUCAGGCUAGAGUCCGGAAGAGGCGAGUGGAAUUCCUGGUGUAGCGGUGAAAUGCGCAGAUAUCAGGAGGAACACCGAUGGCGAAGGCAGCUCGCUGGGACGGUACUGACGCUGAGACGCGAAAGCGUGGGGAGCGAACAGG